CGUGCACCGUCCCCAUCUGUGAGCUCAGGUGAACCCUUCCUAACUAAUUCCAGCCUAGGAUUGGGUCGUUGAACAUUCAUGGCUUCUGUAGUGUCUCUAGUAAACCAACUCAAUUAAACAUGUUUCAGUUUCUCAGGUUGUUGCUACAACCCCAGUUUGUCUUUCGCAGCGUUCCUGUCAUAGAUAGAAGAGAAAAAUAGAGCAAUUAAUGUUUCCAAUAAUUUCAGAUGUCAUCAUGUAAAGCCUUCAACAGCG
rnacentral:misc_RNA from 1 species